rnacentral:rRNA from 1 species
AUUGAACGCUGGCGGCAGGCCUAACACAUGCAAGUCGAGCGAGCGGCGGACGGGUGAGUAAUGUAUGGGGACUGCCCGCUAGAGGGGGAUAACUACUGGAAACGGUGGCUAAUACCGCAUACUAUCGGAUAACCCAUAUGGGAUUGGCUAGUAGGUGGGGGAAAGGCGCACCUAGGCGACGAUCCCUAGCUGGUCUGAGAGGAUGAAAAGCCCAACUGGGACUGAGAAACGGCCCAGACUCCUACGGAGGCAGCAGUGGGGAAUAUUGCACAAUGGGCGCAAGCCUGAUGCAGCCAUGCCGCGUGUAUGAAGAAGGCCUUAGGGUUGUAAAGUACUUUCAGCGGGGAGGCGUUACCCGAAGAAGAAGCACCGGCUAACUCCGUGCCAGCAGCCGCGGUAAUAC